ACGGAAGGCAGCAGUGGGGAAUAUUGCACAAUGGGCGAAAGCCUGAUGCAGCGACGCCGCGUGAGUGAUGAAGUAUUUCGGUAUGUAAAGCUCUAUCAGCAGGGAAGAUAAUGACGGUACCUGACUAGGAAGCACCGGCUAAAUACGUGCCAGCAGCCGCGGUAAUACGUAUGGUGCAAGCGUUAUCCGGAUUUACUGGGUGUAAAGGGAGCGCAGGCGGUACGGCAAGUCUGAUGUGAAAGCCCGGGGCUCAACCCCGGUACUGCAUUGGAAACUGUCGAACUAGAGUGUCGGAGGGGUAAGUGGAAUUCCUAGUGUAGCGGUGAAAUGCGUAGAUAUUAGGAGGAACACCAGUGGCGAAGGCGACUUACUGGACGAUAACUGACGCUGAGGCUCGAAAGCGUGGGGAGCAAACAGGAUUAGAUACCCUGGUA
rnacentral:rRNA from 1 species